rnacentral:rRNA from 1 species
CCUAGGGGAGGCAGCAGUGGGGAAUAUUGCGCAAUGGGCGAAAGCCUGACGCAGCGACGCCGCGUGGGUGAAGAAGUACUUCGGUAUGUAAAGCCCUGUCAGCAGGGAAGAAAAUGACGGUACCUGACCAAUAAGCCCCGGCUAACUCCGUGCCAGCAGCCGCGGUAAUACGUAGGGGGCAAGCUUUAUCCGGAUGUACUGGGUGUAAAGGGAGCGUAGACGGGAAUGCAAGUCUGGAGUGAAAGCCCGUGGCUCAACCACGGGACUGCUUUGGAAACUGUGUUGCUGGAGUGCAGGAGGGGUAAGCGGAAUUCCUAGUGUAGCGGUGAAAUGCGUAGAUAUUAGGAGGAACACCGGUGGCGAAGGCGGCUUACUGGACUGUAACUGACGUUGAGGCUCGAAGGCGUGGGGAGCAAACAGGAUUAGAUACCCGAGUAGUC